rnacentral:rRNA from 1 species
UACGUAGGGUGCAAGCGUUAAUCGGAAUUACUGGGCGUAAAGCGUGCGCAGGCGGUUUCGUAAGUCUGUCGUGAAAUCCCCGGGCUUAACCUGGGAAUGGCGAUGGAGACUGCGAGGCUAGAGUUUGGCAGAGGGGGGUAGAAUUCCACGUGUAGCAGUGAAAUGCGUAGAGAUGUGGAGGAACACCGAUGGCGAAGGCAGCCCCCUGGGUCAAAACUGACGCUCAUGCACGAAAGCGUGGGGAGCAAACAGGAUUAGAUACCCUGGUAGUCCACGCCCUAAACGAUGUCUACUAGUUGUUGGGUCUUAAUUGACUUAGUAACGCAGCUAACGCGUGAAGUAGACCGCCUGGGGAGUACGGUCGCAAGAUUAAA